UCCUCCAUCCUUAAAGCCUGGCCCUGCAUCCACUUUUUCCAGCUCCAGCAGGUCCUUACCUUCCCUCUAUUUGAGUACAGAGGGACAGGAAGAAAAAAAUGUAGGAAAUCGUCUCCACCUGCACUUCAUCCAGGCAGAUGCUGAUAUUUUGCAAACCCACUGACGUGAAGACUCCUUGUGAUAGAAAACCAGCGUAAGCUGAUACGGAGUGUGCCAAGCUGCAGCUGGCCCCGGCUCCCGCUGCCACCUUGACACUGCUCGCCGUUCUCACACCUGCGGAGCAUGAGAGACGAGGUCAGCCCCGAAAGGGGAGCCUGCAGGGAAUGCUUCAGCCAUCAAAAGGGAGGUGAGGCAGCGGGUUUCUGAAGAGGCAGGCAGGUGCCUGACAAAUAUUGGCAGCAAAGGGGAGAUGUGGUCAUGCAAAGAGCUUCGAGCUUCUCUGGGCCACGCCACCUCUCUUGCACCUGCCAGGACACUGGAAAGCCCAUUCCUUGAAGCCAGAAGCAGUCCCUAACCAGUGUGUGCCCUUCCCACAAAUGGCUCCAGCCCCUGCCAGUUGCUCCCAGCAUGAUGGAAACCCACAGGUACUUCCCCAGAUGCUGCUUUCUCUGGCCGUGGCUGAUGUUUUUGGCAGCUGCUGCUGUAGUACCAAUUAUUUCAAUGGAUUUUCUUUAAUUAAUUAGCAUCUUUAUACUCAGACCAGAGAGAGCCAGUGCUGUCAUGCAGUGCCUUUGGACAGAGCUGGGAGCGGGGUCCACCCAGGCUCACACACCACCUCCCCGCAGCAGCGAGGGAGGGGACAACCACCAUGCCAGGCCUGGCCAAGGGCCCAUCUAGCCCAGGACCGACCCCAGCAGUGGCCAAAAGCAGGUUUCUACAAAAGUGUGUGCCCCUAGAGCUGCUGCGAGCUGCCAGCC